UAUUGUAAAUAAUAUGUAAUAGAUCAAAACAAAUAAUAUAUAGCUUAGAUUUCUGACUUGCAAUUCAGGAAUUUAUGGCAUAUCUACAUUCUACAUUCUAAAUGCAUGUGUUUUCCAAGUGCAAUUUUUUAUACUUAAUAACACUUAUAAAAUGAAUAAGAAAUACUCAUUGAUAUACUAUAAAAGGAGAAAGUCAGAUGAUGACAGUAAUUACAAGUCUAGACGGAGGAGCAGAGAACUCAAGGAUUCCAUCCCACCUCGGGUGUACAGGAGAACAGGAACUAAUCAGCUCCAGGAAUACAGGAGAACAGAGGAGGCUUGCAGCAGUGCAGGAGGAAGGAGAACAGUCAAAUUGUAAAACUUUGACAACCUCACUUUAAACCAGAUAAAUCCAGAUUCAUCAAACACUGAAGUUCCAGAUGGUUUCAUUUUUUAACCCAGAUAUAUCCAGAUUCAUCAAACCAUCAAAUUCCGGAUGGUUUCUGGGUUUAAACCAGAUAAAACCAGAUUUAUCUAACCAUCAAGUUCAUGGUGAUUUCAGAGUUUAAACCAGAUAAAACCAUAUUCAUUAAGUUCCGGAUGGUUUCGGUUUAAUUGGAUCAAAAACAUUAAAGUUUUUUAAAGUCUGGACUGUAAAGUUACACAUUCUGACACAGAAAGUUAAAGAUUUCUAAAAAAGAAAAUUACAAAUUUCUGAAAAAGAAGAACAAAGUAGAAGAAAGGCUUGCGCGCAUCAUCAGGUUGAAAAGAUAUAAGGAUUAGAAAAUUGAAGUUUGAGCUAAGUGUUCACUUUCUAUGGGAGAAUUUUAAUAUUUUUUGCUCGUUUAUUCUUUAUCUUUCCUUGAAAAUAUAAAAUUGGGUUUAA